rnacentral:lncRNA from 1 species
UCGAUCUCAACCCAGAAGGUAACGGUUUCCAUCCCUUUCUUCCAUUUUUUUCCUUCGAUUUCUUCUAAACAAUGUGAUUGUGAUGAAGAUUUCGUCCAUAAUAACUUAUUAAUGGUAUGAUCACUAAAGUAAUUUUGAUAUUAAUGAUAUUUUAUUCAUUUUGUUUUGUGGAUUGUGAUUGUAUCAGUUUUAAUGAAAACCAAUGCUUGAAUUCCUAUCAUGAUUGUAUUGAUUAAGUUGAUUGUGAUUGUGUCAAUUUUCUUGGUUGAUGUUAGCCUCUACUUUUAUCUAGUGCUAUCCGAAAUGUAAAAGAAGGUUUAAAGCUGCAAAAUUCUCUAAAUCCAUGUUUGAAGUUGCACGAGCAAGAGCUGAGAAAUGUGAGUUGAGGAACAACGUCGUAUCAUGGGAUUGAGAAGAGCACGAGCAAGAGAGUAGAGAGUGAAGAAACCAUGUCUGGUAGGCGGCUACGGCUGCUGCUAUUUCAAGUGAAGGG